rnacentral:sRNA from 1 species
GUGAACGGCUUCCUGCAGGCUGGCAAUGGCGCUUCACGUUCCCAAGGCUCCGGGCUUUGCCCAGAUGCUCAAGGAGGGAGCGAAACACUUUUCAGGAUUAGAAGAGGCUGUGUAUAGAAACAUACAAGCUUGCAAGGAACUUGCCCAAACCACUCGUACAGCAUAUGGACCAAAUGGAAUGAACAAAAUGGUUAUCAACCACUUGGAGAAGUUGUUUGUGACAAAUGAUGCAGCAACUAUUUUAAGAGAACUAGAAGUACAGCAUCCUGCUGCAAAAAUGAUUGUAAUGGCUUCUCAUAUGCAAGAGCAAGAAGUUGGAGAUGGCACAAACUUUGUUCUCGUAUUUGCUGGAGCUCUCCUGGAAUUAGCUGAAGAACUUCUGAGGAUUGGCCUGUCAGUUUCAGAGGUCAUAGAAGGUUAUGAAAUAGCCUGCAGAAAAGCUCAUGAGAUUCUUCCUAAUUUGGUAUGUUGUUCUGCAAAAAACCUUCGAGAUAUUGAUGAAGUCUCAUCUCUACUUCGUACCUCCAUAAUGAGUAAACAAUAUGGUAAUGAAGUAUUUCUGGCCAAGCUUAUUGCUCAGGCAUGCGGUAAGUAAAUAUCAGUAAAUGAAAAGAUCCAAAAUAAAAAUGUCUUUAACAUGACUAGAUACUUUCUCUGUUGUCCCAAAAUAAUCUUUUGAUAUGUCUCAUUUUCUUAACAGUAUCUAUUUUUCCUGAUUCCGGCCAUUUCAAUGUUGAUAACAUCAGAGUUUGUAAAAUUCUGGGCUCUGGUAUCAGUUCCUCUUCAGUAUUGCAUGGCAUGGUUUUUA